rnacentral:lncRNA from 1 species
ACGCAGUCCCAUCUUCCCGGGCCCCUUCCAGCCCGCCCGGAGCCUGCGGAGCGACGAGUGCAUCCGGUCCGGACGAGCCUGUCUGCUCUCCUCGUUAGUCGAGGGCGGCAGUCCUCUUUCCACGUUCUACCCCCAAGGGCUGUUGGAAAGAAGAGACGUUGUAAAAGUAGAUCUAAUAAGGGGUUGGCCCUUCCGGCUCAACUAUCCUCCUCUUACAAAUGGGGAAACUAACGCUAGGGGAUAAGCAUUUAUUCAGAACUACUGCCCCGAAUGGGCAGAGUGGUAGGGAUACAACGAUCACCAAAGAAAAAAAAUUGUCUUUUAUUAAAAAAGAAUUUACCCUCUAUUGGAGCAGACAAUUUACAAAUAAGUAUAGACGGUAUAAAUUGAGGGAAAUUUCAGAAGGCACUAACGUUAAGGGGCAUCCGGAAAGGCUUCCUAUGGAAAGUAAGAUUUUAGUUGAAGGAAACUAGGGAAACCAAGAUGGGGAGAUUUCUAGGGAUGAAGGACAGCUAGUAAAACUGCAAAUCUAAGCCCUAGACUCAGUCUUAAGUGCCUGCUAUGUGAGAUGCAAAUAGAAAAGUCCUCACUGCCUGUACGGGAAACAACGUACAAACAAGCUAUAUAUGGGACAAAAUAGAAGGCAAUUUUAAUGGAGGGAGAGUCAGUGAAAACUUUUGAAGUGUUAUGAGAGGACUAGCAAUGGGCAAGUGUCGUGUUCUGAUUGGUUUUCUAAAGGUCUUUGGACCAGCCUUUGUUUGAGCAGAAUAAUCACCACGAGAAUAGCCAGGGGAUAAAGUCCAAAUUCUUUAUUAUCUCCUUGACAAUCUUGUUUCCUUCUUCUGGGGCCAGGGCUAGCUUUCUGGAGGUCCCCCAGAAUGUGUCUUGGUUUCUGUGGGGGAGGCAGGAGGACCACUACGAUGGUCUCUGUCUUGAAGUCUCCCUGAGUCGAGGAGCUUAUACUCCAGCCUCCAGUCCUCUGUCUUCCUGGUGUCUGUUUCAGUCCCCCUCUAGGUCUGACUCUGAUUACAAUUAAAACCAUUCAUCAUACUGAGUAUAAGCCAAUCAUUAUGUCACUAGGGAACCAUUAUUUGUUCUAAGAUUAAUUCAGAUAUACUGAACUAGAGAACUAUUAAUCACCAUGCUAAACUAGAUAACUAUUGUCUUAUGAAUUUCACUGAGUUAACACCUUAUAAGAAUCCUUGUUUCAAAUCUGUUUCCCGACUUCUCAGGGAGGUGAGAACCCUAAAAAGAUGAUCAUGCCCUCCCUGACUUCUCAGAAAAGGGGAUGAAAACACCAACAAAGGAGGUGAUCAUGCUCUUUCUGCCAUCUCAGGGAGAUGAAAGCACCAAAGGGAAAUGGGGAAUCAAACCAAAUUAGUGGGUUUCUGAAAGGUCUCACUUGUCAGGUAUACAUAAAUCCAUCAAUAUGGAAGGUAUUACACAAGCAUAUAGUAACACAGGCUAGUAGUGAUGUAACAACAUGAAUCAACAUGAGGAAUUAUACAUGUCCAUAAGACCUAGAAAUAGUCCAAAAUCAAUCUAUUGUCCAUUACUUCAU